GUGCCAGCCGCGGCGGUAAUACGAAGGGGGCUAGCGUUGUUCGGAAUUACUGGGCGUAAAAGCGCACGUAGGCGGACAUUUAAGUCAGGGGUGAAAUCCCGAGGCUCAACCUCGGAACUGCCUUUGAUACUGGGUGUCUUGAGUCCGGAAGAGGUGAGUGGAAUUCCGAGUGUAGAGGUGAAAUUCGUAGAUAUUCGGAGGAACACCAGUGGCGAAGGCGGCUCACUGGUCCGGUACUGACGCUGAGGUGCGAAAGCGUGGGGAGCGAAACAGGAUUAGAUACCCGUGGUAGUCCACGCCGUAAACGAUAGGAACGCUAGCCGUUGG
rnacentral:rRNA from 1 species